CUCCGUACUACCCAGAAAGAGCCUUUCCAGUGUGAAUCAUAAGACCAGUGCCCGCUGAAAACCCAAAGGCUCCUCCUGGCGGCUGGAGAAAGCCCAGGCUCCUUUCCCCGGGACGCAGGACACCGCGUGAUGCAGCUUCUGGGGGCCUCACCAGUUUCAUUUCCUGAUGCUCCAUCCCGUGCUUCGAUCCUACCUGACCAGAAUGAAUCAGAGUUGGAGUUUGACAGAGGGGCAACAACAGAGGUUACUUAUUACUAACAGAACCAUCCCCCACUGCCACAGCAGCAGUUCAUGGAUUCUAAGAAUGUCAGCUCAGCUUUCCAGGUUUCCAGAAUGCUCUCAAAUUUUCCAUUGAUCUGUCCAGGCGUAAGCAACGAUCUGGGAAAGCACGUAUGGCAGUGCCUCUGAGAAGACACAAGAAGGAAGGCCUGGAGCCAGUGUAGGACAGUCGCUGUCGGGAACCAAGGGUAAGUUCCCAUCUGACGAUGUCAAAAUGACUUGUCUCUGUCUUACGAGAUUAAGGAGAUGCUGUAUUGUCUGAACAGCCUCAGAUAUGAAGCAACUUGGGCAGACGCUCCCCACCCCCCCCACCAUCCCUCAUCCCCGUCUUUGAUAAUGAUCGAGGUGACAAGCUGUUAUGGGGCCCAAGGUUGACAGCACACAGAAAAAGUGGCUUGAGCCAAAAGGCAGGAGUUAAUAGAGAUGAACCCAUCAAGGGCUGUUGAAUGAAUGUCAUUUUAACUUAUUUCUAAAGUGGGACUCGGAGCCUAUGUCCCGCACACCGCUCCCAGCCACCUCCAGCAUCUUCCCGAAGCGCUGGCUUUCCCGCUCACCUCGCAGGUGCAGGAAGGUGCCGAGUGCCUCAGCCCGGGCUUCCUCACUGCUCACCUCUUCCUUACCCUUUCAUACCACCUGCCAAGCCGCCCUGCACCCCGUGAGACAGAGCCAGCUCCAGGCUUUCCUUCUCCGGCUUCCCUCCUCACCAUCCCUCUAGUUGCACAAGGCCCUCAAAAGUGGUAUUUCACAGCCUCUGGUUCUGAGCUGGGAGGUCAGUGCAUUCCCCAGCACGUGGUCUUUUCAUUUAUUUUUAGAAGAAUGUUAUCUUUAGUCCUUGCAACAAAUCUGUGUUGUAGGUGGAGUUUGCAGGUGGGGAAAUUGAGGCUUAGAAGAAGCCCAGUGAUUUGCAUAGGGCCAUGCAGCCCAGAGGUGGCAGAGCAGGGACCCUGGCUGCUGUGGCUGGCUUAGUUCUCAGUCACCCUAC